GUGUCUGCGUCCGGGAGAAGGUUCCCCGCACGGCGCUAAGGGCGGAGUCCAUGUAGACGUUCUACCUGGGGCUUGACCCCUGGGCCUGCAGGUCACGGAAAACAUACAGCCCUGAUUGCUGUUGGCAGACAUCUGCCGCUAUGGUAGAAAGCAGCCUGAGGACAAAAUUGUUAAGAGGAAAAAAGCAGAGCCCAGGCAGCCCCGGAGGAAUGAAGCUGGAACUCUGAUCAGUUAUCGGGAGAAGCAUUUUAACACUGACAUUGUUUGGAAUUGCCAGUGCAUGGUAAUAAUAAAAAGCAGUCAGUUGAGACCAGCCUGGGCAACAUGGCAAGACCCUAUUUAAAAAAAAAUACCCUACGAAAUCCAACAAAAAGCAUUCAGAAUUUUAGUUGGCUUCAUUCUUCCUCUUAUUGUCUGCUCCCAGGGUGAACUGCUCCUACUACCCUCAGCUAUGGAAUGCCACUAUUUGGGACUAAAAGAAAAGGGUCAAAGUUCAAAAUUUGUGAUUUGCUGCAGUCAUUUAUCCAUGCACUUUUUUACUCACUCUACACGUUCUCAAGGGCACUUGCUGUGUGCAAGGCACUGCAUUAGGUACUAGGAGUAAAUAUGGCAUGAGACUGAACCCAAAGAAUUAACAAUUGAGUGAGAGGUAUAGAUAAGAAAUUGAAGAGUAAAUACAUAACAACAGGGCUGCAACUGGGACAAAUAUGGGAAGCAAGGGAAAAGAACACCUCAGUUGGUUUAGGGCUUCCCAAAAGGGUGGCAUUGAAGCCAAGACCCAAUUACCUCCAUGCCUGGGAGCCAUGCCCAUGCUGACAUUGUUGACAGCCAUCCUGUCUCCUCCUUUCUGCUUUCACCAGGACGUAACUUGGGUUCCCAAAAGGCCACUAUCAUGCUUUCUGUUUCCUAUAUGACCUAGCACUGGGACUAUUAACCAGGUUUUGGUCUUCUGACAUCUCCUCUGUGCACUUCCAUUUUAUUCCCACCCACCAGUGAGGGCACUCAGGCCAUGUUUCCUCAGGGCUGGCUGCACCAGGGUUUCCCUCAAAGUGUUCCUUCUGAUAGUGACUAGACAGAACUCCAGGAUUGAGCCCAGGCUGGAGUUGCCUGAAUGGCCAGGACAGAUGCCAGAAAUUUUGUUUUUAAUAUAGAUAUAACCUAAUAUUUGGACUUAUACUCAAGGUAUUAUGAUGUUAUAGACUGGGAGACUAGGACGCACUUUCCAGAAUAAUGGGGAUUAAAACAAUCCUUUUGUACUCAAGUCAUACGUUUUACUUAGUUUAUUAAGCUAUCUUAUAUCUUACUUUGGAAAGAAUAGUUGGGAAAAUGGUCAUUAGACGUGAUCCUUUUUAAAAAAUGAAGUGGUGACAUACUGUUAAUCAUCACAGAGAUUGUUUGUACUACAUUGUAUACAUUCACAAUAUGCUUUCAGAGAUUCUUCUGGCUGGGACUGAAGGAUUGAAGAUAGUAUUUGCACUCUUGCCAUCCACCUUUUAAUUUUAUUUACAUCUUGCUCAGAGUUCCAUGCAGAAGUUUAUGGAGGUUCCUUCCAUCUUUCUUCUAUAGAUUUCAUCAAACCUCUCAUUCUGGGCAACAGUGAAGUGGUUUUUCCAAUCCCCCACAGUUCCUAGAAAAAGGAAGGCCAGACAGGAGUGUCACUCUCUGAUUGAAAGAUGUGGUGUCCCUGAGUAAAGUGGUGUAGUGCCCAUACUGAAUCUGGCCUGUCCACAUACCUGACUCACCCAACUCCCCCUUCAGUGGACACCUGUCCACGAGCAGCUGUCCUAUAAGAAGCAGGCCUAGGGGACUCUGUGCAGGGGGAUGGACUUCUGAGUCAGCUGGGCAACUGACCCAAGGCAGCUAGUGGCCUGCAUGACCUGGCCCCCCCUGUAGUGUAUUUACCUGAUGGAUUACUACAUAGACAUAAAAGAAGGAUGAACUACAGACACACAACCACGUGGAGGAAUCUCAAAACAUUAUGUUGAGCAAAAGACACCAGACACAGGAAAGUAAAUACUGUGAAAUUCCAUUUAUGUGAAGUCCAGCAACAGGCAAAAUCAAUCUAUAGUAAUAGAAAUUGGAAAAACGGUUGUCCCUGGAGGUAGACAUUGACUGAAAAGGUCACAAGAGGGAACUUUCUGGGGUGAUGAAAAUGUUUCAUAUCUUGAUUGGGGUGCUGGUAGUGUGGGUGUAUACAUUUAUUAAAAUGGGUUGAACUGUAUACUUAAGAUCUGUGCAUUUUUGGUAUUUUGAUUAUAUCUCAAUAAAAAACUAUUUUGGAAAAAUAUGAAUGAGAUAAUAUUUUUCACCAAACAACAACUUAAACUAAUUUUAAACAGGGGAAAUUCUCUUUUCCCCACCAAUGCCUCUUCCAGAAAAUUAUGCAACAGAAAUAAAAGCAUCUGGAAAUAAUAAUUUAUGCACAAAGAUAUUUACUGUAACAUUAUGCAUAAAAACAAACAUUGAAAACAAUAAUAACUAUAGUGUCUAUCAUUAAGGGAAUAGUUGGAUGAAUUAUGAUGUAUCCUUAGCUUGGUAUAACAUGGGACCAAAGAAAUCAAUGAGGUGUAUGAGUCUAUAUGCCUUGCCCUAGAGGGGUUUCUCAUAUCCUGGUAAGUAAAGGUACAAAAUAUGACCCCAUUCUCCAUUUUAGGGAGCAAGCUUUCAUUAUGGUUACAUAUCUUUGUGUCUGUGUGAGUCUGAAGAAGGAGGGUGUAUAGAAAGAUGGUUAUGUAUGAGCCUGAAGAAGGGCACCUUGACAAAUCAUUACCACUGGUUAUCCAAAGAGAAAAGGGGUAGAAUAUUUUGGUUUGUUUCAUUGGUAUGGAAUACUGUUGUAGAUUGGAAAAUGCAACAACAUAAAUUCAAGCACAUGCAAAAUCAAAGAGGAAGAAGAAAAGAUGUUUCAAAGCAGUGUGUAUACCAUGAUUUCACUGUUGUGAAUAAAAAAUCUGUAUGUUAUAAAUGAGAGAGAAAGGGACUUCCAUACUGUUGGUAGUUACUUCUUGGGGGUGGAGUUUUUGUGGAGAGACUUUUAAAAAAUAUAAUUUUAUACUGAUUUUAUUUAUUUAUUUAUUUAUUGAGACAGAGUCUCACUUUGUCACCAGGCUGGAGUACAGUGGCGUGAUCUUGGCUCACUGCAACCUCCGCCUCCUGGGUUCAAGUGAUUCUCCUGCAUGAGCCUCCCGAAUAGCUGGGACUACAGGCGUGCACCACCACGCCCAGCUAAUUUUUUUAUUUUUAGUAGAGACAGGGUUUCACCAUGUUGGCCAGGUUGGUCUUGAUCUCUUGACCUCGUGAUCUGCCUGCCUAGGCCUCCCAAAGUGGUAGGAUUACAGGCAUGAGCCAUCGCGCCCAGCCUAUUUAGUUUAUUUUUUAAGAAGAGCUGGUGUCUUGCUCUGUCACCCAGGCUGGAGUACAGUGGCAAGGUCCUAGCUCACUGCAUUCUCAAAAUCCUGGGCUCAAGUGCUCCUCUCACCUCAGCCUCCUGAGAAGCUGGGAAUACAGGGAUGCAUCACCACACCCAGCUAAUUAAUUUUUUUUGUAGAGAUGGGGUCUUGCUGUGUUGCCCAGUCUAGUUUCGAACUCCUAGCCUCAAGCAAUCCUCAUGCCUCAGCUUUCCAAAAUGUGGGAUUAUGGGCAUAAGUCAAUCUGCCCAGCCCAAUUUAAUAUUUAACAAUGACAUAUUUUGCUUUUUAAAUUAGAAAGUUUUUUCUCAAAAAAUAUUAGAUGGGCCAAUUAGAAUUCCUCGUUUGGGAAUUGGAACUAAGAAAUACUGAGGAUGAGGCAGUUCUCAACGGUAGUUGUAGUUGAAACUCAUGAAGUAGAGCAGGUUUGGGUAAGGGUCAAGACCAAGUUAUGAGCAGAAACUGAGUCAUCAGAAGUUAUAAAGUGGGAGAAAGUUGUAAUGGGUGGAGAGACGGGAAGCUGGUUAGCAGAGGAAGCCAUGCCUAAUAGAUAUGUGAAAAGCAGCUGAGUCCUGUAAGUGGUGGAGCUUUGGAGCAAAGACACAUCCCUCCUGCUGCUGAGUCCUGGACCCUGAGAUCCAGCGGCCCCUGGGAGGUCUGGACCAGUGGUGGCUCCUCUUCCUAGUUUUCUAUGUGAUUGCAUUUCCUUUAUUGUCCAUUGUGAAUCUUCACAGUAAGCCCCUUUCUUUGGGGCUAGCUUGAGGGACUCUCUGUUCCUUGCAACCAAAUACUGGAACAAUACCCUAGAAAGUUCUCUUCUACAACAGGAUCAAAUCCCUGGUUUUAUUAGAAACACAUAUUAGGAAUAGUUGAAGUGGAUUGGCUUGGAAUUAAUAAAACUCAAUAUUGUCUGCUAAGAGGCAGACAGGAUGUUACGAGACAAUCUGAAUGUAUGAUAAAGAGGCCCCACACACCUUUUCUCAUGAAGGAGGAAAUUGACUGGUCCAUGAUAGAUUUGGAAACUGUAGAACGAUUUGUCAUGGGAUUUUCUUUCAUUUUCUCAAAUGACGUCUCCUGGACAAUUUUAUCUAGCACUGUUUCAUCCACGUUCUUUCCCAUGAACUGCAUCACCUUCCGAAUUUCAUGCUUUGGGUCCUGCGGCAAGGGUAACAUUGGACUGGAAUGAAUGAGAGUAUCAUAAAGAAAUACUACAAUUCUCUGGGAUGUCCUUUGAAACAACUUUGAAUUUCUCUGCACCUGAAGGACCACUUUAAAAUGGUUCUUCUGCAGAGCCUUCACUCACCCUCUUUAUGUCCUCAUAGAAGAGGAAGAGAAUCUGGUGUCUGUCUUUCAUCUCCCACCAUCCUUUCACAUGGUCAAACCAGGAACCCCAAACCACUGAAAUAGACACAGGAAACAGAAUGGUCUACAUAGGCAUCGCACAAAACCUUCUGAGUAUUAGGGAUUUUCCUGAAGUGAGUUAGAGAGAGAAAACCCAAAUUCUGGAUUAGAUAUGUCCUAAGGGUUCUGAUCUGUUUGAUUUUGAGGGUGGUGUAGAUGGGGUCAGCCUUAGGGUUACUUGCCCCAACAUCCUCCCUAAAGUGGCUUCCUAUUAUGUGCAAUCACAUAGGGACAAGGACACCUUUUGGAAGAGGAUGGCUUUAAUUAAAGACUUUGAAUCAGGUGGAAGAUGUUUGCUGAGGGCUAUGGGCAUACACUCAGAAAGUGGCCAGCUUGCUCUGCCCAGUCCCAGUCUGUGGUAGGACACACCUGGUGAAGUACAGGCAUUCUAGGGGAUAAAAUGCUACCUGUGGUUCCCUAGACCCAGCCUAGCUGGAGUGAGAAUGCAAGGGUGUGAAGGAUGUUCCCGUACCUUUUCCAUUGAUGAAGGUUUCAAAAUACUCUUCCCAGGUACCAGGGUCCGGAAGCAUGUGGUUCAUCCUUUGGAAAUGGUAGUAGGAAACCAUACAGUCUUUGGCAUUUCGAGCUACAUAAAGGAACUUUGGGGUAAGAAAAGAGGUUCUGGUGGUGGACAGACACCAGAGUGGGAUUCUAAGCUGGCGAGGCUUACCUGGUAUCUCAGGGUCCCGGUGCCCUCAGUCAACACAGGUUCCUGAAGACUCAGUGCCAGGUCCAGGACACUGUGCAAGCAAGAGCACAGCAGGCAGAGUUCUAUUCUGUCAUCCAGUCUGGAGCUCAGUGGCACCAUCAUGGAUCACUGCAGCCCCAGCCUCCUGAACUCAAGCAAUCCUCCUGUCUCAGCCUCCAGAGUAGCUGGAACUACAUGAGCAGGCUACCAUGUCUGGCUAAGUACCUCAAGUUUGUAAAAGAUAAUACAAUUUCAAGAUCCUCUAAAUGUAUUAUGCAAGGGAUAAAUUAAGCCCUGGAGACUGAGUCACAUAGCGUAUUUACAAUUUUACUUCUUAGAUUAUAGAGGAACUCUCUUCCUCACUUUUUUUAUUCUGUAAAUUACUAUGAGAGAACAGAGACCAGACCUUCCCAAUUCUAAUUGCUGAUCUUUGUUAUAGAUUAUCUUCCUCCUUUAUUGUCCUGUACCUAACUCAAUCAAAUAGUACUCAAGACUCCAUGACUGUUAUAUCAUCAAUUACAUAUAACUUUCCUGAAAGAAAAAGACCAUCUUGACUAAUCAGAUCCUUGUAACUACACAUUAAGCAUUACAUAAAAUGAUGUUGAAAUUCUGCUAAACUUCUGUAGACUUUGUAUAAGUGACCCAAAAGUUCUACACUUUAGAACACUGACUUCCCUUCUUUGAGACCUAUGCUUAGUGGAUGGCCAACCCUCAAACUUUGUGCUUAAACAAACUCUCUUUAAACUAGAUUUUGACUCUUUUCGUUACUUUAUCUUGACACUUUGGUGACCACAAAUGGUCACCACUAGUGAGCCUCCAGUGAGCCCUGCUGUUUCACCAACACCUGAUGCUUUGGUGCCAACACUAAGGUUUUCAUUCACUGGACAUCAUCAGAAGCAGAAAGGUUUUUGAUGAGACUCAGGUUUUUAAUUUUCCUGACUUUUUGGUUGAAACUCGGAUUUUAUUCAAAUGACUUGGUUUUAUGCUCCAUGCAGCUGGAGUUGAACCUCUGCUUUUAAGGUAGGAGUUUAUUUUUUGUUCUUUAGAGAUUCUGUUUUUCAUAGAUUUGUAAUUUCCACUUUUCUCUGAUGUCAAGGGUUAUUUGUAGAACUACUUUUAGAGUUUGUACAACUUUGUCUUUCAUUGGAAUUUUGGUCAGGAACAGAAAUAGUUUCUUCCUCUGAAAAGAGAAGGUGAAAAAAAAAAUCCUGGCUAAACUCUGAAGCUUGGCUCAUUUGUUAUAUCUAAAGAUUUUUCUGAGUGAUGAAAAUCAAGGAAAAGCUGUUUUGUGAGGAUGAAGAUAAGAGAUGCCAUUCUUCCAUUCCUCCUACCCAAAAGGCACCUUAGAUGAUGAAGAUCUUGCGGGAGUGCAGGAGCUCAUCACUCCUACAUGCAACGGUCUCAUAGGAAAUCCCCAUAGAAGAGCAUACAGACAAUCUUGCUUAACUAGAUGGGCAUGUAUGAAAACUAGAUCUCCUAGUGCCUUAAGUGCCCAGGAUUCCUGGGUUUCACUGAAACAUGUAAGAGGGGACAAGCAAUUCCUGAGUGACACUUCAAGGUGUACUCCCUAUUAAGCAGCAUACCAGAUCCCAAACAUCUUUCCCUCUCAGUCUUUUGUCAUUUAAGAAGAGAAUCCAAAUGAUGGAAAAUCAUCCAUCUGAGCCCAAUUCUUCCUCUAUAAAAAGACAUCCACUUUUAGGAACUCCAGCCAGAUUCAUGUACCAUACUUAUUGUAACACCUCCUGUUAAUAUCCAGAAUAAUAGUCUCACUUAACUCAUGAAGGCCCCAACCUACAAUGACCGAAAUGGGGUACCGUUAUAUACCUAAAUUAGUGUAUUUAUGUGCACAAUUGGAAAAACUGCCUCUAAAACUAAACGAUGAGCAGAGUUACUUUCAAUGGUACUUAGAAGAAUCCCAAAGGCCUUGGCAAAGCUCUUUGCCCACAGGAAGAAAAUAGAAAGAACUCUAAAGUCAUUUCUGAAUUAAAGAAAACUGCUGAAGCUUUUUCUCUUCAUCCUCCUUUUUCUACAUCUCUUUAUCCCUCCUUAUCUGAAUUGCCUCACCCAGACUUGCCUUCUCUUCCCCUUCCUUCCACUUCCUUCAUUUCUUGAACAGCUGGUAUUUGAUACCAGAGAAUUUAACAUAUUUUAUCAACCAUGGUGAAAGAUAGAACUUAAAGGCAUCAUUAAGGAAUUUCCUGACUGCACCAGGAUCCUACUGAUUUUGUUAGGAAAUUUCAACUGAAUAUUUGAGCUUAUGACCCUGUUUUUUCUGAUUUAUAUCAAUUAGUUCACAUUAGAAUCACAAAAUAAAGCUGAAGAUUGGCUAGUUAAGGCAAAUCAGAGGAGCUGGCUGAAGGACUUUUGUAAAUUUUCAGAAGAUUGAAGACAUGGCUGUGAGUUUGCAAAGGCUUUGUUCAGAGCCAUUCCUUUACUAUUCCAAAGAGUGGCUGACUCAGAUAAAAUACACCAAUGUCAACAAAACCCAGGUGAGUCAGUAAUGCCAUAUUUUGAUAGAUUUGAAAAAAUUUCCAAACAAUAUUGAAGAUUCUCUGAAAAGAGCUGUGCCCACCAUCAAAAUGAUACUCUCAGCGGGGUGCAGCGGCUCACGCCUAUAAUCCCAGCACUUCGGGAGGCUGAGGUGGGUGGAUCACGAGGUCAGGAGAUAGAGACCAUCCUGGCUAACAUGGUGAAACCCUGCCUCUACUAAAACUACAAAAAAUUAGCUAAGCGUGGUGGCGGGCACCUGUAGUCCCAGCUACUUGGGAGGCUGAGGCAGGAGAAUGGCGUGAACCCAGAAGGUGGAGCUUGCAGUGAGCCAAGAUCACCCCACUGCACUACAGCCUGGGUGACAGAGCAAGACUCUGUCUCAAAAACAAACAAACAAACAAACAAAAAAAUGAUGCUCUCCUCAAUUCCAAUUCGUUAAACAGGUUAAGUGAAGAAUUGGCACUAAUAGUACAAAGAUAACAGCCUAAUUGGGCUACUUCCCAAACUUAUGAUUUGCUUAAGUUAUUGAUCAGUUAUCUUAUACCUUAAUCAAUGAAGAGAGAGAGAAAAGGCAAACAAAAGAAUAAGGCUGAAAAGAUUAUGAACUUGUGACUCAAACAACUAUCCACCCAGGCUGAACCUCAAAAUACUCCAAUAAAUCUCAGAGUGGACUUCACACUCUUCUUUGUAAUUACUGCAAAAACCUGGACACUUUAAGAAAGAUUGUCAGAAACCACAAUGGAGGGAACAACAACAGGCAAAAGAAGAGGAGAUGUAAUGGAGUUUCUCCAAGCAACUGAAAGAGUUUCUCUUCCUCCUUACUAACACUAUGAGAGAAAUAGAAAUUGUUUGAAAUGGAGAACAAACAUAAGCUCUUGUUGACACUGCAGUUAUGUUAUCUGUAGUAAAUCCCACGUUAUUACAAGGCCUCAUUCCUUGGAGCAAACAAACACUUCAAUUGGUGGAUGUCACUAAUACCCCUGUACUGGCAUAUAAAUCUUAGCCUUUAGCUUUUCAGCUAGGCCCUUUACAAGGGACUCAGGUUUUUCUCUUAGUUUCCUCAGGCCCCAUUUAUUUGAUAGAAAGAGACUUCUUAGAACUACAUAAUGCCCACUUUUUUCCCCAAACAUGGGAAAUGUGUUUAGAAUUAGAAGACAAAAUUUAAUUACUAGAUACAAUAAAUGUUUUGAAAUAUGAUUCUCUUAAAUUCACAAAUUGCAAUCCAUAUUGCCAUAGAGGACACCAAAUUAUUGAAUAAUGAAGAAUCAUAAAAACACUUAAAGGUAGUACCUGUUCAAUUGUGGUGAAAGUCAUCCACUGGUAUUGGAAAAAAAAUCUUAGUUGCCCGAGUCAAAAUUCAAAUAAACUCAUCAAAGCCUUUUUCAGACUUCACACAAUAGCCUAAAUAAGGGGAUCAAAGUCAGCCACACCAUAUCUUUUGCUCCUGCUUUUUCCAGGCUGGCCUUGUCCUUAUGGGGCCGUCUUUGUACUGCCUCCUCCCAGCGCAGAGAGGGCACUGUGGGGGUUGCUAUUAUGCUCCUUUAAAAAACUAGUAGGGUUUGGGCCAGCAGGAUGUUCAUAGCUCAUCCAUGCUCCUUGGGAAUUCCAUGAGCACAGCCUGAGCCAAUAUGCCUUAACAUGUUCUUAUAACAAAGAAAGCAGUUUGAGCAUACAGACAUUCUUUAAAUAAGCUGUUUCAGCUUUCAAGAUUUUUUUUUUAACAGAAAACAGUACAGACCCCAGAUGCACAGAGUUGGCCAAAUCAUUUUGUGAGCUGAUACAGAGGUUGUUUAAGAGCCAAUAGUGCUUGUGGUGAAGAUAUACUUACUCGAGGCCAUAACAUUCCUUCAUUUCACACUGCCUACUUUCUGUUGGGUUAAUUUGGUUGCUUCUGUAUUCUUCCCACAUUGAAAAGAGGGUGUGGAAAUGUUUCAGGUUCCCUGUCAGGUCAUAGGGGCUGGCCUUGACUCACCAGGGUACUGCUCCUCUUGGUGAGGGGAAGUCACUCCCAGUGCCUUUCUCUUAAGCUGGGUGCUCAGUGACAGCAGAUGGGCAGUUAGGAGACAAAAGGGGCUGGAUCUAGGGUCACUGGACUUGAGAUCUAGAAGGCACUUUGUAUGCCAAUGUGCUUCACCAUUCACUUUACAUAGUGGGGAAUAAAAAUCCCCUAAUAUUGCCACUUGGCAACAUGUGAGAGUUGAGCCACCAGAUAGAGAAAAUUAAGGUAUCAGGUAUUCAGAACAAAGAUGCUUAUUAGGAUUUGGAAUUAAAAAAAUUGAAGACUUAAGUGACUUAAAUUUCAAGCUGCUGCUGGCUGUGAACCUACCAAGAUGGGCAUCAUUCCAUUGCUCACUCUGUGUCUCCUGCUCUUAGUUAAACUUUGAAAGGAGGCUGGACUGUGACAUUUCAUGGGUAUGGUUUUGCUUACCGUCAGCCAGAUCUGGCUGCAAAUAUCAGGUUGUCUUCUUUUACCUUUCCAACUUUAACUUUUAGUUCUAACAUUUCUGGUUGAUUAUUUCUUAGAGGUUCCAUCUGUCUGUGUCAUUGCCCAUCAGUGUUUGCCUGUUGUCCACCUUUUCCAUUAAAGCCCUUAGCAUUUAAUUAUAGUUAUUUUAAAUUCCUAAUCUGUUGCGGGAAGUCAGGGACCCUGAAUGGUGGGACUGGCUGAAGCCGUUACAGAAGAACAUAAAUUGUCGAGAUUUCAUGGACAUUUAUCACUUCCCCAACCAAUACUCUUAUAAUUUCCUAUGUGUGUCUUUACUUUAAUCUCUUAAUCCUGUCAUCUUUGUAAGCUGAGGAUGUAUGUCUCCUCAGGACCCUGUGAUGAUUGUGUUAACUUCACAAAUUGUUCACAAAGCAUGUGUGUUUGAACAACGUGAAAUCUGGGCACCUUAAGAACAGGAUAACAGCAAUUUUCAGGGAAUAAGGGAGAUAACCUUAAAGUCUGGCUGCCUGUGGGCUGGGCAGAACAGAGCCAUUUUUCUCUUAUUACUGAAAAUGAGUAAGAGAAAUAUCACAGAAUUCUUUCCCCAGUAAGGAAUAUUAAUAAUUAACAGCCCUGGGAAAAGAAUGCAUUCCCAGGGGGGCCUCUAAAAUGGCUAAUCUAGGGGUGUCUGCCUUAUGUAGUUGCAGAUAAGGGAUGAAACAUGCCAUGGCCUCCUGCAGCGCCCCCAGGCUUGCUAGGAUUAGGAAAUUCCAGACUGGCAAAUUCUAGUCAGACCAGUUCUCUGCUCUUGAACCCUGUUAAGAUGUUUAUCAAUGACAAGGCAUGUACAGUGGGACAUGAAACUUCAUUAGUAAUUCUAGUUUUGCCCCGACCUUGUGAUCUCACCCUGACCUUCUGCCUUGUGAUCUUUUGUUGCCCUUGAAGUAUGUGAUCUCUGUGACCCACACCCUAUUCAUACAUUCCCUCCCUUUUGAAAAUUGCUAAUAAAAACUUGCUGGUUUUGUGGCUCAGGGGGCAUCACGGAACCUGCCGAUAUGUGAUGUCUCCCCUGGACACCCAGCUUUAAAAUUUCUCUCUUUUGUACUCUUUCCCUUUAUUUCUCAGACUGGCUGACACUUAGGGAAAUAGAAAAGAACCUACAUUGAAUACCGGGGGAUGGUUUCCCCUGAUACUAGUCUCUUAAUUCCAGUAUCUCUACAAUAUCUGAGUCUGGUUCUGAUUCUUUCUUGUCUUUCCAGACUGUGUUUUUGCCUUUUAGUAUGCCUUGUAAUUUUUUGUUGAAAUCUACAUGGUGUAUUGUGCAAAAGUAACUGAAAUCAAUAGGCCUUCAUUGUGAUCUUUAUGUUUAAUGGCUAGGAGUUAGACUGUGAUUAGUAUUUGCUGUGGUUCUGAUGUCAGAGGCUAAAAUUUUGUCUAGUGUCCUUACUUUUAUCUCCCUUGUUGUCUUGGAGUUUCCCUAUAGACUACUUCUUAUUAGAGUAUGAGGCUUGCAGUUCUUUUAGCGGCAACCCCCUAUUAUUAUACAGGAGCACCAAUUAUGUGGUGAGGUGCAGAGGAAGGAGAAAUGUCCCAUAGACCUAGGAUUAGGUCUCAGUCUUUCAGUGGGCCUGGCUGCUGGGCAUUGACCUUCACAUGUGCUUCCAGUUUUCCCCUUCCUCAUUUAGGUGAGAUGGGAGGGCUAGAGGAGCUGGAGUUGAAUAUGCAUGGGCAUUUUCCUUCCUCAUGUUUGUUUGGUCUUCAUCAAAUAGUUUAUCUUGAGGAAAGGUCUUUGUUAUUGAAAACCCAAUGCUCUGGGCAUAUUUCAAAAAUGGCUGUAGUUCCCUUCUUUCUACCAGAAGCAUGAGAGGAUUUUUCUCCAGUCCUAGCAGUGAGUAUCUGGUGUGGCUCCAGGAGGUGAAAUUCAUAAAAGUAUGUUCUAUACACCCCCGAAUUUGAGCACCCCUAAAGUUGUUAACUCUCAAGCUAGUGCCUCCUGAGCCUCCAACAAUUCCUUUAUUACAAUUUCAGUUAUUCUAUCCUGGCACCUCCUCCAGCUUUGGGCUACUUCUGUUCAGCUAUGAUUCUCUGCAUUCAAACAUCCGUCGAGUUUUUGGGACAGCAGUUUGCCCAUAAACUUCAUUCUUUAACGAAUUUAGGCUUACAGUUUGUUUUUCUUGUUCUGGAGACAGGAGUAACCUUCAAGCUUCUUUAAUCUUGGACUGGAAAUGGGAAGUUCUUCCUAUUUAAUUUUCCUAAGGAUAAUUUUACUUAUAAAUGGGGCUAAUAUUUACUGUUGCUCAUAGGAUUGUUAAAAGGAUUGUAUGAGAAAAUAAUGAAAAGAAGUUAGCACAAUAUUGGCACAAACCAAAAGUUAACCAAAUGUCGUCUUUUACUGAAUAAGUGCUAUGAAUGUUGCUGUUGCUGUUAUUGUUGAUGGUAGUAACUUUAACUAGACAGGAGGAGGCAGAUGGGUGAGUCUGUAAAACACAUCUUCAAUUAGCAUACAACCUGGAACAAGAGGAGAAGCAAAUACAGUAAUUCAUAAGCUUUAUAUCUGAGGGGUGGAAUUCUUAGGGAGACUUUUCAGAAAUUCAACUUAAUGAGGGAGGAAUGAAGUUAUAUUUUAAGUUGAGAAAAUCAAGAAACAAAAGAAGUCAGAGACACAAGUAUUGUACAGAAACUGCCAUCUCCUUGCUCUGUCAAGACAUUUUUCCCAGCCCACCCUUUCAGUGAUGGUGCAAAUGUUUUGAGAGUUCUGGCAAAAUAUAGGGGUUUUAGGUUCAAUCCCAGAAUUUCUUGGGCAUGAGGUCUCGUCUCCUGUGUCCACCUGCUUACUACAGCCAAGCCUGCAUCCUUCUUACUCAAAGAGCAUCCCUUGGGAGAUUGUGGGGAAAUGUGGAACCUUGAUUGGUCUCAGAUUUACUGGAUCAGAACUUGCAUUUUACCAAGAUUCCAGGGGUUCAAUGCAUCUUUAAGUGGGAGAAGCACUGUUCAAGGUAACCAUACAAAAAGCCCCUGGGAGUCCCCACUCCUCAUUCCCUUCUCACCCACAGCCCAGCCAGGUCCAAAAGCAGCUUGCAUACUUCCAUUCUGGUUUUCAGUUCUUUCUUUGUUCCUGGCAUUUUGGGAUUUCUGUUUCUUUUUGCUGUUGAGUUUAGCCAUUCACUUAAGGAGAUAUUUGUGAUAAAUUUUUGUAGAAUUUCUGUGUAUUACAGUGGGAAGUUGUACAUAAAAUCUCAAUUUCCAAAUCCCCUUAGCCAAAAAUCCACUUUAUCUCUCUUAGGGGUUUCUCCUCCAUUUAUGUUCUUGCUCAUUCACAUCUACACCUUGCCAGGCACUGCACAAAAGACUGUGAAUACAACUGGUGAAGAAAAGGGUUGUUACAAUGUAAGGAUUAGUAAGGAGGAGGGUAGUUAUGGGAAACCUGAGGAAGAGUCUCAAGAUCCUCUGCCACUGUACACAAUUAUUUCACUCUUUCUCCCAGGACAGAGGAAAGAAUAGAAUUGGAAUUGUUGUUAACCAGAAUGAUAUACAGCCAUCUAGUGCCUUUCUGGGAAAGAGCAAACUCUACCAGCUGCCACACAAGAGAGAACAGGAUGCUGGCAAAUCUCUGUUAGAGGCACCCGUUUUCUGGGAGAUGCUCUGAUCUGGAUUUCCAUACUUCUGCUGAGUAAAGAGAUUAGUGAUUGGGACUUCAUGUGCCAACAAUGUUUGCCCUGGACAAAUACCUCAAGGGGUCCGAACCCUUGAAAAGAGUUGUGAAAAUGUUUUUACCAGCAUCCUGCCUGUGUCUCACCCCCUCCCAAGUAGGCCAGGGCAGAUCAUGAUGAAGGGUGUUCAGACUUCAGAGAUGCCUCUGUUUGGUAGAGGUGGUGAAUAGUGUGAGGAGGAGUUCAUCUUAUCAAGGACUGUCUUUGAUAAGGAACAAACACAAAAACCUUCAUUUCAUUGAAUAAAAUCCUAGAGAAGAAAAUCAAUUACAAAUUUGGAAGGUUGUAAGGUGAGGGUUCUUUAUUAUUUUGUGUCAUAGAACCCUGCAGCAGUCUGGCAAAGUUUAAUCCUCCUUUAUCAAAAUAAUAUUUUAAAUGCACCAUACACACACACACACACUCACACACACCUAUCUGUCUAUCUAUCUAUCUAUCUAUCUAUCUAUCUAUCUAUCUAUCUAUCUCUCUAAUCUACCCAGCCAUCUAUCUAUGGAAUCUCAAAGGAAACUUACUGAAGUAUAAUUAUCAAAGUAUUACAUAAAGAAAUACACUGAACAUAGCAAUCUAACUGCUCCUUUAUUUAUACAUUAAAUAACAAUAUCUAGCAGCCAGUCUAUCAAUACGACCAUAAUUUGAAAUAGUCAUGAACUUCAAUAGUAUUUUAUAACUAAUGUGGUGAGACAUAUCUGUGCUUUCUAUGGGCAUGAAGUCACAGGUGCUGCUAACAUUACAUUUAUAAUUGAUAGAAAUGCUUCAUGUCCCAUGGAAGUCAUUAAAAAUAAAGAAAUAAUUUUCUCCAUUAUUUAUUUCAUGGAUUGCUGUGAAUUUUAUUCCUUGUUCCCUAACAUAAAAGUGGAGUAAACACUUAAAAACAGAGUGUAAAAAUGAAACAUAUGAAAAGGUAUCCUGAUGACACAUUGGAAAUAUAUUCAAGUGGCAGCUGUAGCCAACGUGCAAGGACACCUGCUGUGGGUGGUCGUUGUCCUGCUGGGAAAGAGGGGCAGAGGCAGCCAGAUGGAGGAAGUGGGAGAGGCUCUGCUCAAGCACACAGCUUUGAAGGGUAGGCUGGGGCAGGGACAGGAGGAGUUCUGUUUUGGAAGUGAUUCCAUGCAGGGUCUUCAGGACAAGACCACAUGCAUGGGGCAGUUCCUGGAUAUCAGGAAGAUGUCACACUCUGUAGAGGCUGACUGUGGAGUACCCAGGACUCAAGUGGGAGCUGCCUUGAUGAGGUGGGAGUUGCUGGGGAGUCAGCAAAGAAGAGGCUUCAGGAGAGGUAGAUGAGCCUGGAGUGGACACUGACAGGGACGAGCAGAGCAAGGCAGGGAAGCAGGAAAGGACAGCAUCAUUGAGGUCAUGCCAGGAGGAGGCUCGAGGUGCCCAUGUAGUCCCUAGAGCCCAGCAUCCUAGAGAAGUGGGGGUGAGGUCACAACAAGCUUCCUCCUCUCAAGUCAGAGGUGAUGCCACCCUGCCUUGGUGCCCUCUAGAAUUACCAGAGGCCUGUCCUGGUUUUGGUCAGAUCGACCUCUCCCAGGCCCAAACUCUGCCCUGAAUGAGGGUUUCUCCCUUGGGCUGAUUUACUCAGGGAGCUCAGAGGCCCAGAUAUCUGGAUGGUAGGACAGGCAAGCCCAGCAGGCAGAAUCUGAGCUCCUUAAGUGGGAGCAAACCCAGUUAAGCAAGAGUGUGCUUGGCCAUCCAGAGCUGCUGGGUCAAGGUGCCUGACUUGAGCUGCUGGGGCUGUGACCCCUCCUGGCCUGUCUGGAGCCAGAAAAAGGGACCUCCUCUCCAGCUGGACUCCUUGGAAGAUGUUAUCUAGAAUAGAGUUGAAGUGUUGUUGUUUGUUUUGAUAAAUGCACUGUGUGUGGCACUGAAACCUUUUGAAUUAUGAAGUAGCUGUUCAGACCAAUUAAAUUCCAAAGUUUAUAUGCAGAAAUUCUCUGUGGGCAUGUGCCCUGCCUGGAGGUUCCUAAGGGAGUUUUCUCCUCCUGCUGCAGAUUAGUAAUAAUAAUUUAGAUUCUGUCUUGUUUUGCUUAUAAGGUUGUUAAGUUACUUAUUUACAACUAAGUAACUGAAAAGGUCAGGGUAAUGAUUGCACCAAGUUGUUCUGACUGAGGAGGCAGUGGCUUAGUCUGAACCAGGUUCCAAGAUUGAUUUAUCUUUAUUGCUAUAAAUCUGGCCUCAGUUGCUAUAUUUUUGCCGUUUCUCCCAUGACUCCAUUUUUCCUUUCCUUUCCUCCUUGUUUAUUUUUUUUUCUUUAAGGGACAUGACUCCCUAGAAAUGAGCCUUCCUGGUAAUUUAGGACAUGACCUUCUAGGAACAAGCCUUCCUAGCAAUGUGGGGCCUGAACUUCUGGUAACAGACCAUCCUAGUGAUGAGGGAUCAGAUUAGAACCUGGGACUGGAGACUCAUUUUCUUCUAAAAUGGCUUCUGAAAAAAAGGCAGGGAAUGUGAAAAGCAAAGAAAAUCUCAGAAUCCCAAAUUCGCUGAGCCAAAGAGAAAAGUCACACAAAGGGAACUGAGUUACAGAAACCUGCCUCCAAUAUUGUUCCUAAAUAGAUAGCUACAAACUUUCUUCACAUUUUCCUCAGAAGGAAUUUCCCUGUGGUCUCCAAGAUCUUUGUCUGUUGAAUCUCACCCUGAAAAUGUAAAUUAAUGGCUUAUCUUUGAGACAGCCAUCUAUAAAGGGGACCCCAGAGAAACUAUGAUUGCCCUGUGUACUGGGAGAACAGGGUGGAGCCAUGGAAGUUCACAUCCUUUGCAGAGGGGAGAAGCCUGGCUUCUGUUUUGGAGUGGGAGAUGGGAUUCCAUCUGUGCAGGUAGCCCAGUAGCAGGACUCUGGCUUUGCUGAGAGUCCCAGUUUCUCUCUCUUUUUUUUUCCUUUUUGACCAAUAAACCCUGCUCUUCUCACCCUUCAAAGUGUCUGUGAGCCUAAUUUGUGGUGAUCAUGUCACAAGGGCCCUGUUUGUAGUUUUUAAGGAGAAAAUCCUACAGCACCUUUGACGUGCAAUGUGGGGCUUGAGAAAGGGUGAGUGAAAUGGGGACUCAAAACCUCUCAUUGUUUCUUCUGAGCCUUCUGGUCCUAUGGCAUUCCUCUUCUUUUUUUUGAGGACAGUAAUGACAAAUAUUUUUUCUUUUACAGUACUGGAGGUGUCCACAACCACCCCAAUGGCCACAGGAACACACCAGGGAUGAUUGGGUGGGCUAGCUCCCUGCUCCUCCUUCCUUCCCUACUUGCUGGAGUGCAUGGCCCUGUCUGCUGAAUGUGUGCACAGUGUUCAAUGGCCACACAGUGUAGGAAUAAGCUGCAAGAGCUGCCAAGACCCCAAGGCAUCCCAUCCCACGUGCUCAUGGAGUGUCCCCCUCACCCAUCCAGGGAGUCCAACUCUGUCCCACAGCAAUUAAGCUUUUCUCUCUUGUGGGGGAAUGAUUUGCAUAAGAAUAAGAGGGUCUUUUCCCAGGCAUCCUUUUUUCUUCUCCUCCCUGUCAGCAGUUAACUUUUAAAUGAGGUUUUUUUAUUCCCUUUUGGAAGACAUUUUACUAGGCUAGGAAUGAUAAGGAUCACUGUUUAUAAAAGUUUUAAUUGUGAAAAAGGAUUUGUGAGGCUGUAAGCUGUACCCAAUCUGGUGUUUUUUGCAUGUCUGUAUGGUCCACAGCAAACUUGGCUGCAGGCCUCCAUCUUGCUUUAUGUCCUGUGGGUGUGGCCUAUAACCCAGUGGCAAGGCUUUAUUUUUAUUUUUAUUUUUUUAGCAAUCCUGCCAUAGGGAAGGAGUACUUUCUGGCUUGAUAUCUGCAUGUUUUCCUAGCCCUGUCUCUUAAGGGGAUACGCUUAGAGACUGGGUUUUCUCCUGCCCACCUCUGUAGUUAUAUAUGUGUUGUGUGUGAGAUUUCUGUUAAGAGAGCUCAAAUUAAUUUGGCCUAAAGGAAGACAAGUGCUUGGAUCAAAUAUUUUUUAAAGGGAAGAUAAAAACUGUGGUACCUUUCAGUUCACAUGACUUUAAUCUUUGAGAAAUUAAAUUAGCCUUAAAGAUUAUUGGUAAAAAGCAGAUGUCAUCAAAAUAUGAAUAGGUGGAUUAAAUUGUGCAGGUCAGAUGCAAUGUUCCCUAAAUGUUUUAAGGUUAUAAACUACUUUCUUUGGUUUUUGAGAACUGCCCAACUUGGUAAGGCCUAGAAACAUAUGGAACUAGCCACAUCCUUAAUUAAGCUGGAAUAAGUAAAACCUUGGCUGCACCUAGCACACAAUUAAAACAAUUUAUCAGGUUUUACAUUAAAAUUAAAAUUGCUAGGAGUUACCUGUAAGACAUGUAAUUAAGGUGACUGGAAAUAGAUUUACAUGCUAGGUGUGUGAGAAUAAUAAAAUGUGUUUUUAGUAAAAGGUUAUAAAAAGGCAUGAAAAUGUAAAUCCGUGCAUAGGGUUAAAUAAUUGUUUUGAAUCAGACAGAAUAAAGCUAAAAGUUCAAACAAUGGUGGAAGGAUUGUAAAAAUUAACCUUGCAAAAUUCUGUGUGAACGUAUUGACUAAAUUCAGAAGGCUAUUGUAUGGUUUUUCUGUAAAUUGAGCAUUAAAAUAAAAGGUAUUUUGCUUUUGUAAUUUCUGAGUCAUUUUGACAAAAUAAAUAAUUUACGGUAAUCUGGAAUUCUGUUUUAUAAAAUCAAGUGUUUUAAACCUCUAACUUAUUUAUCGGGCUUCCCAAAAUCUAACUUUCACUUCAAAAUUGUCUUUCCUUGAAACCUGGAUUUUUGGAUUCUUCAGAGGGCCCCUGGAGUGUCCAGAAAAGAGAGAUAAACAGGAUUAUUUAACAAGUCUAUGUACAUGGAAUUGCCAAAAUGAUGUUUAAUCUUCUUUAGCUUACAUUUUUGUGAAUAAUGCUAAUAUAUGUUCCAAAAUUGCAUGGGGCUUCUAAAAUUCUAAUGUCUGAGUAUAUGUUAUUUAUCAUAAUUAAGGUUGUUAUGUUAAGUUUUGUAAACCACAAAGAUAACCAAACUUCUUUGUCAAUUGUGUUUCUAACUGUAACUACCCUGGGCAUUUUGUUAUUCACAGACAAUUGUUUUGUUUUAAUCCUUCUCAGAAGAUGGUUCAUAAUAUGUGAUAGGACUCUGACAUGUGCUCUCAAAUAUUGGUUUUUGAUAACUUUGGAGAUUGUAACAUUGGAAUAAAGGAAAAAUGUACAGGAUUCAUGAAGAGCUGAAAUGUUCAUGAAUAUCAAGCAAAUCAAGAACUAAAUGGACUGAACUCAGUAAGCUGAUACAAUCUUUUUGAUUUUUCUUGGAAUAUUGCUGAUCCUUGUUUUGUUUUUCAGAGUCAAGGAAGCUUAUUUUGAACUAUUUAUGGUCUUUAGUAAUUGAAUAAGUUAUACUCUUGUGAAUAAAAUUUGGAGAAUAUUU